rnacentral:lncRNA from 10 species
CGCCGGUUCUGAAACCAGACUUUGACCUGCCUUUCGGUGAGGUCCAGCAAGGCCGCGAUCUCGACGCGGCGUGGCCGGCACAGGAAAAGAUGAGUGAGGAUCUCCGCGUUGGAGGAAGAGGGAGUCGAAAGAGGCUUCCACUCUUUGAAAAAGACCCAAUGGUGGUUGGGCUUCGGGUCACGUGACACCUUCUUUGUGGCUCCGGAAGAGGAUUGUGAAGUUUAGGUUUCGUGGAAGAAACCGAUAAUUGAGGAAAAAAAAAAAUCAAGAUUUGGGGGGAAUUACCUACAAAGAUGUAAGGUGUGUUAAUUUGGGCGCUUCUUGGAUUCUACCCUGAGGAGGAGGCGCGUGGUGAGAGGAGAGAUCUUGAUCUGCCGCUCGCUGAGGUUCAGCAGGUUGGCCAUCUCUACACGGCGAGGCCGGCACAGGUAGCGGUUAAAAUGGAACUCCUUCUCCAGCUCCACCAGCUGCGCGCUCGUGUACGCCGUCCGCGCCCGCUUGGACGCCGCCGACCCCGGGGGGCUCUUGUCCCCUCCCCCGCCGCCGCCGCCACCGCCCCCGCUGCCACCACUGCCUCCGCCGCCGCCGCCACCGCCGCCGCCACCACAGCCCUCUGCUGGAUCCGAGGGGGAGGGGUGGGAAGGGGAGAAAAUGAAAUAAAAGAUAAUUACUGAACACGCCGAAAUUGAAUGCAUCGUUUCUUAAUAAAUCCAGGCCUGGACUCAGAGCCCCCGCCGCCCUCCCCUUCGGGUCCCCGCCGCCUCCUCACUCCCCCACCCCACCGCCCGUCGCAUUAGCGGACACUCUAUAAUAGUGGCAUUUAUUAAGAGACC